rnacentral:tRNA from 1 species
GAACCGUUGCAAUAUAUAGGCGGGUCGCCCCCCUCCUAAGGGGAAGGUCGCCCGUUCGAAUCGGGCCGGGGUCACCA